rnacentral:rRNA from 1 species
CUCCAGACUCCUACGGGAGGCAGCAGUGGGGAAUAUUGCACAAUGGGGGAAACCCUGAUGCAGCAACGCCGCGUGAGUGAGGAAGUAUUUCGGUAUGUAAGGCUCUAUCAGCAGGGAAUAGAAAAGAAGGUACCUGAAAAAGAAGCCCCGGCUAACUCCGUGCCAGCAGCCGCGGUAAUACGGAGGAUGCGAGCGUUAUCCGGAUUUAUUGGGUUUAAAGGGAGCGUAGGCCGGCUUUUAAGUCAGCUGUGAAAGUCCGCGGCUCAACCGUGGAAUUGCAGUUGAAACUGGAGGCCUUGAGUGCACACAGGGAUGCCGGAAUUCAUGGUGUAGCGGUGAAAUGCUUAGAUAUCAUGAAGAACUCCGAUCGCGAAGGCAAGUGUCCGGGGUGCAACUGACGCUGAGGCUCGAAAGUGCGGGUAUCAAACAGGAUUAGAUACCCGAGUA